AUUGAACGCUGGCGGCAGGCUUAACACAUGCAAGUCGAGCGGAGCGGCGGACGGGUGCGUAAUGCUUAGGAAUCUGCCUCGUAGUGGGGGAUAAGGUCCGGAAAUGGGCGCUAAUACCGCAUACUAUCAGACGAGCAUAGGUCGGAUUAGCUAGUUGGUGGGGUAGAGGCCUACCAAGGGGACGGUCGGUAACUGGUCUGAGGGGUGGAACAGUCACACGGGACUUGGGACACGGUCCGACCUCCUACGGGAGGCGGCAGUGGGGAAUAUUGGACAAUGGGCGAAAGCCUAAUCCAGCCAUGCCGCGUGUGUGAAGCAGGUCUUCGGUUUGUAAAGCACUUUAAGUUGGGAGGCGUUACCAGCAGAAUAAGCACCGGCUAACUACGUGCCAGCAGCCGCGGUAAUUC
rnacentral:rRNA from 1 species